ensembl:misc_RNA Y_RNA Y RNA
UGCUAGUUUAUGUACAGUGGUAUCUACAGUAGUUGAUCAAAACCAGUUACAGAUUUCUUUGUUUCCUCUUCACUUUCACUGCUUCACUUGACUAGCCUUGA